CAAGGAAUCUUCCGCAAUGGGCGCAAGCCUGACGGAGCAACGCCGCGUGGGGGAGGACGCCCUUCGGGGUGUAAACCCCUUUUCUCGGGGACGAAGCACUGACGGUACCCGAGGAAGAAGGACCGGCUAACUACGUGCCAGCAGCCGCGGUAAUACGUAGGGUCCGAGCGUUGUCCGGAGUUACUGGGCGUAAAGCGCGCGCAGGCGGCCCGCCAAGACCGGCGUGAAAGCCCCCGGCUCAACCGGGGAGGGUCGUCGGUGACUGGCGGGCUCGAGGACGGCAGGGGUCGGUGGAAUGCCCGGUGUAGUGGUGAAAUGCGUAGAGAUCGGGCGGAACACCCGUGGCGAAGGCGGCCGACUGGGCCGGUCCUGACGCUGAGGCGCGAAGGCGUGGGGAGCGAACGGG
rnacentral:rRNA from 1 species